rnacentral:rRNA from 1 species
AGUGAACGCUGGCGGCAGGCCUAACACAUGCCAGUCGAGCGGAUGAAGGGAGCUUGCUCCUGGAUUCAGCGGCGGACGGGUGAGUAAUUCCUAGGAAUCUGCCUGGUAAUGUGGGAUAACGUCCGAAAACGGGCGCUAAUACCGCAUAAGUCCUGAGGGAGAAAGUGGGGGAUCUUCGGACCUCACGCUAUCAGAUGAGCCUAGGUCGGAUUAGCUAGUUGGUGGGGUAAAGGCCUACCAAGGCGACGAUCCGUAACUGGUCUGAGAGGAUGAUCAGUCACACUGGAACUGAGACACGGUCCAGACUCCUACGGGAGGCAGCAGUGGGGAAUAUUGGACAAUGGGCGAAAGCCUGAUCCAGCCAUGCCGCGUGUGUGAAGAAGGUCUUCGGAUUGUAAAGCCCUUUAAGUUGGGAGGAAGGGCAGUAAGUUAAUACCUUGCUGUUUUGACGUUACCAACAGAAUAAGCACCGGCUAACUUCGUG